CAGCAGCCGCGGUAAUACGAAGGGUGCAAGCGUUACUCGGAAUUACUGGGCGUAAAGCGUGCGUAGGUGGUGGUUUAAGUCCGUUGUGAAAGCCCUGGGCUCAACCUGGGAAUUGCAGUGGAUACUGGGUCACUAGAGUGUGGUAGAGGAUAGUGGAAUUUCCGGUGUAGCAGUGAAUGCGUAGAGAUCGGAAGGAACAUCUGUGGCGAAGGCGACUAUCUGGGCCAACACUGACACUGAGGCACGAAAGCGUGGGGAGCAAACAGGAUUAGAUACCCCCGUAGUCCCUGUCUCUUAUACA
rnacentral:rRNA from 1 species